GGCCGCGUGGUGCAAUGGAUAACGCGUCUGACUACGAAUCAGAAGAUUCCAGGUUCGAAUCCUGGCGUGGUCG
rnacentral:tRNA from 1 species